rnacentral:lncRNA from 1 species
CUCUACUAAACUCUGGGUCAGAUCCUGUUUGGCCAGGUGUUCUCUAUGGAGGUUUACUGUACUCUACUAAACUCUGGGUUAGAUCCUGUUUGGCCAGGUGUUCCCUAUGGAGGUUUACUGUACUCUACUAAACUCUGGGUUAGAUCCUGUUUGGCUGGGUGUUCCCUAUGGAGGUUCACUGUACUCUACUAAACUUUGGGUUAGAUCCUGUUUGGCUGGGUGUUCCCUAUGGAGGUUCACUGUACUCUACUAAACUCUGGGUUAGAUCCUGUUUGGCUGGGUGUUCCCUAUGGAGGUUCACUGUACUCUACUAAACUCUGGGUUAGAUCCUGUUUGGCCGGGUAUUCCCUAUGGAGGUUCACUGUACUCUACUAAACUCUGGGUUGGGUCGUGCAUAGCCGGGUGGUCUGCUGUGAACUCCAUAUGAACAAAGCUCAUCUUGAAUGAAUGUCUGAAAUAAUGCUUAACAGGAUGCAGGGUGGGGGGGCAUUUCUAUUUCCUCCUUGCUAAUAGCUAACUCAUUGGAUUGUGAGUAAGCCUGCUUGACGAUACAUGAGUUACAUGUUUAACUGGUGUCACUCCACAGAAAUGUCACUACAGAUUUCACUCUACAGAAAUAAACUUUUCAAUGGGAUUAUUUCUCUCUAAAAUGAGUUUUGAGAUGUCUAAAACACUGAGGGGGUCUUGGUCCUUAAUAAAGCCUCUAGCUUGUCAUCUCAGGGCUGAGGACGAGGAGG